rnacentral:rRNA from 1 species
GACGAACGCUGGCGGCGUGCUUAACACAUGCAAGUCGAACGAUGAAGCCUAGCUUGCUAGGUGGAUUAGUGGCGAACGGGUGAGUAAUACGUGAGUGACCUACCUUUGACUCUGGGAUAAGCCUGGGAAACUGGGUCUAAUACCGGAUACGACCAAUCUCUGCAUGGGGUGUUGGUGGAAAGCGUUAUGGAGUGGUUUUAGAUGGGCUCACGGCCUAUCAGCUUGUUGGUGAGGUAAUGGCUUACCAAGGCGACGACGGGUAGCCGGCCUGAGAGGGUGACCGGCCACACUGGGACUGAGACACGGCCCAGACUCCUACGGGAGGCAGCAGUGGGGAAUAUUGCACAAUGGGCGCAAGCCUGAUGCAGCGACGCCGCGUGAGGGAUGACGGCCUUCGGGUUGUAAACCUCUGUUAGCAUCGAAGAAGCGAAAGUGACGGUAGGUGCAGAGAAAGCGCCGGCUAACUACGUGCCAGCAGCCGCGGUAAUACGUAGGGCGCGAGCGUUGUCCGGAAUUAUUGGGCGUAAAGAGCUUGUAGGCGGUUGGUCACGUCUGCUGUGAAGGCCGGGGCUUAACUCCGGUUUUGCAGUGGGUACGGGCUAACUAGAGUGCAGUAGGGGAGACUGGAAUUCCUGGUGUAGCGGUGGAAUGCACAGAUAUCAGGAGGAACACCGAUGGCGAAGGCAGGUCUCUGGGCUGUAACUGACGCUGAGAAGCGAAAGCAUGGGGAGCGAACAGGAUUAGAUACCCUGGUAGUCCAUGCCGUAAACGUUGGGCACUAGGUGUGGGGGACAUUCCACGUUUUCCGCGCCGUAGCUAACGCAUUAAGUGCCCCGCCUGGGGAGUACGGCCGCAAGGCUAAAACUCAAAGGAAUUGACGGGGGCCCGCACAAGCGGCGGAGCAUGCGGAUUAAUUCGAUGCAACGCGAAGAACCUUACCAAGGCUUGACAUGCAUUAGAUCGCGUCAGAGAUGGCGUUUCCCUUCGGGGCUGGUGUACAGGUGGUGCAUGGUUGUCGUCAGCUCGUGUCGUGAGAUGUUGGGUUAAGUCCCGCAACGAGCGCAACCCUCGUUCUAUGUUGCCAGCGGUUCGGCCGGGGACUCAUAGGAGACUGCCGGGGUCAACUCGGAGGAAGGUGGGGAUGACGUCAAAUCAUCAUGCCCCUUAUGUCUUGGGCUUCACGCAUGCUACAAUGGCCGGUACAGAGGGUUGCGAUACUGUGAGGUGGAGCUAAUCCCUUAAAGCCGGUCUCAGUUCGGAUUGGGGUCUGCAACUCGACCCCAUGAAGUCGGAGUCGCUAGUAAUCGCAGAUCAGCAACGCUGCGGUGAAUACGUUCCCGGGCCU